AUUGAACGCUGGCGGCAGGCCUAACACAUGCAAGUCGAGCGGCAGCGGGGGAAAGCUUGCUUUCCCGCCGGCGAGCGGCGGACGGGUGAGUAAUGUCUGGGAAACUGCCUGAUGGAGGGGGAUAACUACUGGAAACGGUAGCUAAUACCGCAUAACGUCUUCGGACCAAAGUGGGGGACCUUCGGGCCUCAUGCCAUCAGAUGUGCCCAGAUGGGAUUAGCUAGUAGGUGGGGUAACGGCUCACCUAGGCGACGAUCCCUAGCUGGUCUGAUAAGAUGACCAGCCACACUGGAACUGAGACACGGUCCAGACUCCUACGGGAGGCAGCAGUGGGGAAUAUUGCACAAUGGGCGCAAGCCUGAGGCGGCCAUGCCGCGUGUAUGAAGAAGGCCUUCGGGUUGUAAAGUACUUUCAGCGGGGAGGAAGGUGUUGUGGUUAAUAACCAGAGCAAUUGACGUCACCCGCAGAAGAAGCACCGGCUAACUCCGUGCCAGCAGCCGCCGUAA
rnacentral:rRNA from 1 species